UAAACUUGAAACUUUAUUUGUCUACCAC
rnacentral:piRNA from 1 species